rnacentral:lncRNA from 1 species
CUUCGCGGACGGAGGGGGAGCGAGGGGUCACCGGGCGGGCCGCGAGCCCUGGAGCUCGGCCAGGCGUGGACCCCGGGCCAGCCCCGCGCCUCUGUGGCCCGGGCGCCUCGUGCGUGUCCGUGAGCUCGCGUGCGCGCGUCACCUCGGCCCCCAACAUGACUUGGAGGGCGGCCCUACCCGCGCCGCCCUAGUGCUGCGAAGGGCCUGGGAGCCCAAACCCGGAACCGCCACCUGGGACUGGGAAGACGACAUGGCCAGAAGUCGAUCACUGAUAGCAUGGAACUGCCCCUUUCUGGGGAGGUAGGGUACACACAGAGGGCAGCCACCUCGAAAGAGAAGACAGUGCUCUCCAAGCCGCUUCAAUCCUCAACACAGCCAGCCUAUUGCCGGCCAGUCUUCAUCUGGAGCCCAAGACUCAGGUCUCAGGUCACACCUGCACCUGCCGUGGGCUUCAUCACAGACGCGUCUGCCCACCGUGGAGCCCUCCGGACUUCCUGGCAGCCACUCAUGCCGCUUUGCCCCAGGUUUCCAUGCAGCUGUGCCAUGCCUGGGUUCUGUACCUCACACCCUGGGUCUCUGAAGCCGACUCUCUCAGCGUCCUCUCCUCAAGCUCCUGCGCUAUCCUUCCCCUUCCCUGCGGGUGGGUGCUCCUCAAGCUUCCUGCCUGCCCAAGCCCCCCACUCCUCCUCUUGGGUGUGCUUCUGGGAGUGCAUCUGUGGCUCCCCAAGUGCGCUUCCAGUCCUGAGCCCUCCGGUGCACCCCACACCUACAUUUCCAAAUACCCGGGGAUCCAUGCAGCAAAGUCCUACCACCACACCACAGUCAUCCUGUCACACCCAAACUCCCUGCUCCAUCCAAUCUGCCUCUCUUCUAGCGACCAUCUUGCUUCCCUGGGUGGCACUCCUUGAUUCCCUGGCGAAUCUGUGUGAUCAGUCAGCUGGCCUGGACCACUGUUGCGGGAAACUGAGGACUAGAGAGACUGAUAGGGAGAACAGGAGGAUUGUUUAUUUAAGAUACUCACCAGCUUAGUGGAUUCAUAUCCAAAGAGCUGAGCAUUGAACAAAGACUGAGCAGGGUUUUUAUAAGCAAAUUUACAGAAGCAAACAAAAGCAGUUAAUCAUAUGGUAGGUCACAUAAUCUAUAGCAUAGCAUAACUUAACUUGUGGCCUUGCAUAGCUUGUAGCUUGUAACUGCAUUGAAAGAAAAAGAAGAACUGGCUAAAUACAGACAUUUGUAAAACAUAGUUAUGCCUAAGAAGCCAGGGAAAGGAGUAGCAGUAAUUUGUCUUUUUCCCUUUUUUUUUUCCCUUCAACUUUGCCCUGGAAGAAGGUGGUGGUGGGGGUGGUGUCUGGAGCCCAUUCCUUUGGCCUUGGUUUCUUAAACAGCAUUAUCCUAUAACUGUCUUUGAAGUGAGCUUGCUAGGCAGAAGAAAACUUGUCCUUUUCUUUUUAACCCUUGCCUUGCCUGUUACUUUUCUUGGAGUGAAUAAACGCAUAUUUAUUUU